CACUCAUGUUUUUCCUCAGAUCGUAUACAUUUUUAUACUAAAGAUUAUAUACCUUUUACUAAAGAUUUCCAUGGGGAAGAAUACUGAGUAUAAACUAAUUUUUUGAUGCCCUGCCGAUUGGCGGGGCU
ensembl:snRNA U5 U5 spliceosomal RNA